rnacentral:rRNA from 1 species
AGUGAACGCUGGCGGUAGGCCUAACACAUGCAAGUCGAACGGCAGCACAGUAAGAGCUUGCUCUUACGGGUGGCGAGUGGCGGACGGGUGAGGAAUACAUCGGAAUCUACUUUUUCGUGGGGGAUAACGUAGGGAAACUUACGCUAAUACCGCAUACGAUCUACGGGUGAAAGCAGGGGAUCUUCGGACCUUGCGCGAUUGAAUGAGCCGAUGUCGGAUUGGCUAGUUGGCGGGGUAAAGGCCCACCAAGGCGACGAUCCGUAGCUGGUCUGAGAGGAUGAUCAGCCACACUGGAACUGAGACACGGUCCAGACUCCUACGGGAGGCAGCAGUGGGGAAUAUUGGACAAUGGGCGCAAGCCUGAUCCAGCCAUACCGCGUGGGUGAAGAAGGCCUUCGGGUUGUAAAGCCCUUUUGUUGGGAAAGAAAAGCAGCAGGUUAAUACCCCGCUGUUCUGACGGUACCCAAAGAAUAAGCACCGGCUAACUUCGUG